GAGGCCGGAAGGCCGAGAGCGGGGGCGGGAGGAAAGUCCGAACUCCGCAGGGCAGUGCGCCGGGUAACACCCGGUCGGGGCGACCCGAAGGAAAGUGGCACAGAAAACAUACCGCCCGCCUUCGCUCUCGGUGCUUCGCACCUCGAGGCUUCAGCGCGGCAGGCUCCCGUAUCGCACGUGGGCUUGCCUCGACAAAGCCCUCGGGGGCGGAGGACCGAGGGUGAAGUCGGGUAAGGGUGAAAAGGUGCGGUAAGAGCGCACCGCGCGCCUGGCAACAGGCGUGGCAGGCAAAACCCCGCACGGAGCAAGACCAAAUAGGGAAGCACCCGGCGCAAGCCGGACCGGACGGCCCGUCCGGCGCUUCCGGGUAGGUUGCUGGAUUCCGCCAGUGAUGGCGGAACUAGAGGAAUGAUCGUCAUCCGCUUUCGGCGGGGACAGAAUUCGGCUUAUCGACCGGCUGCGACA
rnacentral:RNase_P_RNA from 1 species